rnacentral:rRNA from 1 species
AAGGCUUGACCUCAAAUCAGGAGGACUACCCGCGAACUAGUUAAGCUUUCAUA